CUGGAGGAAGGCUGUGAGGACGACGGCACGGUCAUGAUGGACUGGGGCUCCUCAUGGUGCUGCACUGUCCCUGGGUGGUGGAGAAGGCUCUGGCGGCAGGGGAUAGGGGUUACCACCAUGCUGUGUACAGAGCGCCGCUGGAUCCAGACACAGCACUACCUACAGGCUUCAAAAAGUAACGGACACGCCCCUCCGACUACGUGAUGUUAGCCCUCUCUCGCUGACUGUUUCCACAGGCCUUAUGUUUAAGGGUUACUUCAGGAUGUGGGUGUCCCUUCAAUCAACUUCCCCAGAGUCAGGUGAACUCGUGGAUACCUCUUUAUCUGUCUCUGCGUCCAGUAUGAAGGACGUCGGAGGUCGGUUCGUGAGCCGAUGCUAACUAGCUUAGCACAAAGACUGGAAGUCUUCGGGUACAGCUAGCAUUCCCCGGGGAAGUAGAUAAAGGGCCUCAUUGCCAAAAUCCCGAAGGAUUAGUGAUAGCAAGAAGUGCUACUGGUAGAGAUGUGGAGCUGCUUGCAACAGUAUGUAACCCAGCUAUGAACCAUCCUGGUGUGUGUAGGUUUGAGGCAGGCAGUAAGACACCGUAAGGGAAAGAUCAAUUAUUAGCAAAAAGUCAGGGUGUGAACUGUGAAAUAAUGGGCACAUAUACAUGACUGACUGACUGACUGACACACACACACACACACACACACACACACACACACACACACACACACACACACACACACACACACACACACACACACACACACACACACACACACACUCUCUCUCUCUCUCAAAGUCUGAGCUAUCGCAGUGCCUUGUCCUCCACCCAGAGGAAAUCCAUAACGCCAUGCUGUGAUAGUGAAGGGGUAGCUCCUCAGUCAUCAGAUACUGUACUCUGUCUGUACUGCUGAAGAACAUAGACUUGUUACAAUGUAGAC
rnacentral:lncRNA from 1 species